rfam:Manacus vitellinus contig101034, whole genome shotgun sequence.
UCCCUGGUGGUCUAGUAGUUAGGAUGCGGCGCUCUCACCGCCACGGCCUGGGUUCGAUUGCCGGUCAGGGAA